CAUUCGGUGCCUGCCGGAUGCCACACGUCCUGCCUAGAGUCACUCUGGCUGGCACACUUCCUUGCUCCCUGGUGUGACCACACUAGUCUCACUCCCAGCAUUCCCUUCCACCCCACCCUGCCAACAUCCCUGCUUGCCACUCAAUGUGAGCACAUAAGAAGGACAAGGCCUUCUGCAAACACCUCAGUCACCAUCUCUGUUGGGAGGAGCAGCAAUGCCCCAUCUCUGGGCAAGUGGAAGAGACUCUCAAGUUUAGCUGUUUAGAAAUGCCAGGCUGGGUAUAGUGGUGCACCUGUAAUCCCAGAAGUUGGGAGGCAGGAAUAUCAGGAGUCUUACGUGUUAUCACUGGCACGACUAACCUGGAAGAAGGAAGCUGGGGGCAGGGCAGAAGCCGCCAGUGACACUGGUCUCUGAGAUCCCGGCUGCAAUGUGCAAGGCAGUAGCAUCUUUCUCAGAGGGUUAGAAGGUUGGAUGUCUGGUUCAUGGUCCCCAGAGCCUGCAUCACUGAUCACUGAGGAUGGUCAAGAGGGAGCAGCCUUCAUUAAGAAGCCCACAUCUUCUUGGAGUCCAGGCCUUUCAUCUGAAGUCCACCCUGCAUGGGGUCCUUGUGCUCAGGUGGCCCUGCCUGGAGCUGCUGUCCCUUGUCCCACAAAUGCUGGCCACACUCACAGGAUUUGUUCUGUCAGGGCACAGGUGGGUUGGGCGAAGAGCUGACAGGCCAAUGUGACAGCUGUCACAUUCCAUAGCCUCAAGAUGUCUCUUGAUCCAUUACCUCAGUCCACAGGAGAUCUUGACACAUUUGAAGACCAGGGCCCACUCUGUGGAGAGAGGAAAGCUGAGAGAACUUGGAGGCUGUCUUGAAGCUGGGCUGAACACUCAGCAUCAGUCUGCCUGCCUGUGGGACCUUGGCCAUCACUGACUUGAUUGACCGUGCGGCAAGACUCUCCUUUACGGGGACACUGGUUGCCAUGCCUUCCAUCCUUGCAUUACCCUAGCUAACCCAUGACUCUUCUACCAGCAUGUUGACCUUAGAGUUUGCUGCUUCCAGGCCAGGAAGAUCUGGACAAUAUGUCCCCAUGAGGAUGGACUUCGGGGUCCAGAAUUAGCUGCCCCGUAAAUACUGACUGAAUGUUUGGGAGGAUGAUUGAGUGGAUGACCAAGGUCCCCACAAAGUGAACUCAUGCAUGAGAAAAGGAUUGGGUGAAUGACUGAGUGAAUUAGCGUUGUGUGGGGAGCAUUUAACAAGUAAGGGAGGGGGCACUUUCCUUCAGACCCGGGGAAGUCCCUGACAAAGUCAUGGCUAGGGUCUUGCUACACAUCAAUACUUUGCAUAUUCAAUAUUUUCUCUGUAAAAUUAUGUUCCGUGAUCCUGUCUGUGUAAAAAAAAAACGUCAUAUCGAGAACCACUUGUUUGCCACUGUAAUGAGUCGGUGGAAAAUAAGUUAGUGUUUUGUCUUUAAGAAGAAUCCUGAACUUAGCAGGCGGCAGGAAGUGCAGCUGUUGGAGGGUUUGAUUUUACUCUCCCCUGGCUUCCUUUUGUGUCUGAGGAAAAUAGCCUGUGAACUAAGCUGAGCCAGAGCCAAGGUCCAGGUCAUGGGCUAAGCUCAAUAAUUUUGUAGGCAAAGUGCAAAUUCUUGCGCUCCCUUGGGUUCUCUUUUUCUCUUUUCUUUCUCCCCCCUUUUCAUCUUUUCUGGAAAAUUGUGAGACAGUGAGGACACCUGUCAGAAACCCUCGUGAAGGUAGUCUUGCUAGUGUUGACUAGGUCACACCAGGGUCCCUCCUGGUGUCUCUCUCUCUCUCUCUCUCUCUCUCUCUCUCUCUCUCUCUCUCUCUCUCUCUCUCUCUCUCCUGGCCUCUAAGGGCACUACAUUCACAUGAACACAGAAACACACACAUACACAUGAUUGAAAAUUAAAUAAUUAAUCUUUCAGAAAUACAGGGGUGUUGUUUUGGUAUUUUUGAGACAGAGUCUUACUAUAUAGCUCAGCCUGGCCUGGAAUUCUUUGUCCUCCUGCCUCAGACUCCUAAGGGAUGGGAUUCAUAGAAGUGCAUUUUAAAG
ensembl:lncRNA